UACAGAGGAUGCAAGCGUUAUCCGGAAUGAUUGGGCGUAAAGCGUCUGUAGGUGGCUUUUUAAGUCCGCCGUCAAAUCCCAGGGCUCAACUCUGGACAGGCGGUGGAAACUACCAAGCUGGAGUACGGUAGGGGCAGAGGGAAUUUCCGGUGGAGCGGUGAAAUGCGUAGAUAUCGAGAGGAACACCUGCGGCGAAGGCGGGUUGCUGGGCUGACACUGACGCUGAUGCGCGAAAGCCAGGGGAGCGAACGGG
rnacentral:rRNA from 1 species